GGUUGCGAUUAUACCAGCACUAAUGCACCGGAUCCAAUCAGAACUCCGCAGUUAAGCGUGCUUGGGAGAGAGUAGUACUAGGAUGGGUGACCCCUUGGGAAGUCCUCGUGUUGCAAUCUU
rnacentral:rRNA from 1 species